rnacentral:rRNA from 1 species
AUGAACGCUAGCUACGGGCUUAACACAUGCAAGUCGAGGGGCAGCAUGGUCUUAGCUUGCUAAGGCCGAUGGCGACCGGCGCACGGGUGAGUAACACGUAUCCAACCUGCCGUCUACUCUUGGACAGCCUUCUGAAAGGAAGAUUAAUACAAGAUGGCAUCAUGAGUCCGCAUGUUCACAUGAUUAAAGGUAUUCCGGUAGACGAUGGGGAUGCGUUCCAUUAGAUAGUAGGCGGGGUAACGGCCCACCUAGUCUUCGAUGGAUAGGGGUUCUGAGAGGAAGGUCCCCCACAUUGGAACUGAGACACGGUCCAAACUCCUACGGGAGGCAGCAGUGAGGAAUAUUGGUCAAUGGGCGAGAGCCUGAACCAGCCAAGUAGCGUGAAGGAUGACUGCCCUAUGGGUUGUAAACUUCUUUUAUAAAGGAAUAAAGUCGGGUAUGGAUACCCGUUUGCAUGUACUUUAUGAAUAAGGAUCGGCUAACUCCGUGCCAGCAGCCGCGGUAAUACGGAGGAUCCGAGCGUUAUCCGGAUUUAUUGGGUUUAAAGGGAGCGUAGGCGGACGCUUAAGUCAGUUGUGAAAGUUUGCGGCUCAACCGUAAAAUUGCAGUUGAUACUGGAUAUCUUGAGUGCAGUUGAGGCAGGCGGAAUUCGUGGUGUAGCGGUGAAAUGCUUAGAUAUCACGAAGAACUCCGAUUGCGAAGGCAGCCUGCUAAGCUGCAACUGACAUUGAGGCUCGAAAGUGUGGGUAUCAAACAGGAUUAGAUACCCUGGUAGUCCACACGGUAAACGAUGAAUACUCGCUGUUUGCGAUAUACUGCAAGCGGCCAAGCGAAAGCGUUAAGUAUUCCACCUGGGGAGUACGCCGGCAACGGUGAAACUCAAAGGAAUUGACGGGGGCCCGCACAAGCGGAGGAACAUGUGGUUUAAUUCGAUGAUACGCGAGGAACCUUACCCGGGCUUAAAUUGCAGAUGAAUUACGGUGAAAGCCGUAAGCCGCAAGGCAUCUGUGAAGGUGCUGCAUGGUUGUCGUCAGCUCGUGCCGUGAGGUGUCGGCUUAAGUGCCAUAACGAGCGCAACCCUUGUUGUCAGUUACUAACAGGUUCCGCUGAGGACUCUGACAAGACUGCCAUCGUAAGAUGUGAGGAAGGUGGGGAUGACGUCAAAUCAGCACGGCCCUUACGUCCGGGGCUACACACGUGUUACAAUGGGGGGUACAGAGGGCCGCUACCACGCGAGUGGAUGCCAAUCCCCAAAACCUCUCUCAGUUCGGACUGGAGUCUGCAACCCGACUCCACGAAGCUGGAUUCGCUAGUAAUCGCGCAUCAGCCACGGCGCGGUGAAUACGUUCCCGGGCCUUGUACACACCGCCCGUCAAGCCAUGGGAGCCGGGGGUACCUGAAGUGCGUAACCGCGAGGAGCGCCCUAGGGUAAAACUGGUGACUGGGGCU